GAUUGAGAAAUGCUUUUUCUUGUAACCUGAGUUGACUUAGUUUAGCAAGAUGUUUUCUUCAUCUCUCCUCAGCUUUUUUCUACAUGAUCUAAAUGCAUCACGAAGAGGUCAUGGUCUUCUCUUUGCCCUCCCCAGACUGAGGGACAGCAAGUAUGAUGGAGCAGUCCAGUCCAGCUGCUGUAUGUCUGAAUCUGAGGACCUCAUGGGCCAGGACCAGCACAUAAGAAAUCAAGAGGUCAUUGGGAUAUACGUAACCAGACUGGCAGAGCACUUAAAGAAAAGAAUUUCUUUGGAAGGUAAUGCAGAGAAUGUAAUAUGGGAAAAUACUGUGAGCUAUCAUCAAACUGAAAGGAAA
rnacentral:lncRNA from 1 species